CUGGCGGCAGGCCUAACACAUGCAAGUCGAGCGCGCCUUCGGGUGAGCGGCGGACGGGUUAGUAACGCGUGGGAACGUGCCCUUCUCUACGGAAUAGCCUCUGGAAACGGAGAGUAAUACCGUAUACGCCCUUUGGGGGAAAGAUUUAUCGGAGAAGGAUCGGCCCGCGUUAGAUUAGGUAGUUGGUGGGGUAACGGCCUACCAAGCCUACGAUCUAUAGCUGGUUUUAGAGGAUGAUCAGCAACACUGGGACUGAGACACGGCCCAGACUCCUACGGGAGGCAGCAGUGGGGAAUCUUAGACAAUGGGGGCAACCCUGAUCUAGCCAUGCCGCGUGAGUGAUGAAGGCCUUAGGGUCGUAAAGCUCUUUCGCCUGUGAUGAUAAUGACAGUAGCAGGUAAAGAAACCCCGGCUAACUCCGUGCCAGCAGCCGCGGUAAUACGGGGGGGGUUAGGGUUGUUCGGAAUUACUGGGCGUAAAGCGCGCGUAGGCGGAU
rnacentral:rRNA from 1 species